rnacentral:misc_RNA from 1 species
UCCGGCUUAUCACCGGCGGUUUCUUUAGAGUUCCCAACUAAAUGAUGGCAACUAAAGACGAGGGUUGCGCUCGUUGCGGGACUUAACCCAACAUCUCACGACACGAGCUGACGACAGCCAUGCAGCACCUGUGCAGGUUACACCCGAAGGCAAUCCCCCGGCUUUCACCGGGUUAAUCCCUGCAUGUCCAGCCUGGGUAAGGUUCUUCGCGUUGCGUCGAAUUAAACCACAUGCUCCGCUGCUUGUGCGGGUCCCCGUCAAUUCCUUUGAGUUUUAGCCUUGCGGCCGUACUCCCCAGGCGGGGCACUUAAUGCGUUAGCUCCGGCACGGGAGGAGUCGACACCUCCCACACCUAGUGCCCAUCGUUUACGGCGUGGACUAC